rnacentral:rRNA from 1 species
GUGUCAGCCGCCGCGGUAAGACAGAGGGUGCAAACGUUGUUCGGAAUUACUGGGCGUAAAGCGUGUGUAGGCGGCCAAGCAAGUCGGAUGUGAAAGCCCUGGGCUCAACCCAGGAAGUGCACUCGAUACUGCCUGGCUCGAGUAUCGGAGAGGUUGGUGGAAUUCUCGGUGUAGAGGUGAAAUUCGUAGAUAUCGAGAGGAACACCGGUGGCGAAGGCGGCCAACUGGACGAAUACUGACGCUGAGACACGAAAGCGUGGGGAGCAAACAGGAUUAGAUACCCUCGUAGUCC